AGCUUGCUCAUACUAUAUUUGAAUUCCCAGCAGACGAAGUUGAAGUAUUACUAUCAUUUGGAGGAGUGUUGGUGUGCCUUUCUGUUGUAUCCUCGUUAUUUGGCUCGUUAAGUGAACGACUUUGCAUACUAUGUGGGAUGGAAACAGAAGCCCUAGAGGAUUCUCUUAUGUCAAGGCGCUCAAUCAUGCGUGACACUGUAGCAAUUCCAUUAUCAACUUCUCUUCUGACAUCAGAGCCAAUAUCUGCUAUGGAAGUGCUAUGAAACAACAACUUCUCCUUCCAUCCUUGUGUACUCCUAGUGAAAGAUUCUUUGUACCUCAUCGAGACUGCAUUUAAGCGA
rnacentral:misc_RNA from 1 species